rnacentral:rRNA from 1 species
ACGAUAAAGCACCUUCGGGUGUGUAUAGAGUGGCGAACGGGUGAGUAACACGUGACCAACCUGCCUCUUACAUUGGGACAACCAAAAGAAAUUCUGGCUAAUACCAAAUACUCCGCACAUAUCACAUGAUGUAUGCGGGAAAGCUUUUGCGGUAAGAGAUGGGGUCGCGGCCCAUUAGGUAGACGGCGGGGUAGAAGCCCACCGUGCCGAUGAUGGGUAGCCGGGUUGAGAGACCGACCGGCCACAUUGGGACUGAGAUACGGCCCAGACUCCUACGGGAGGCAGCAGUGGGGAAUAUUGCGCAAUGGGGGAAACCCUGACGCAGCAACGCCGCGUGCGGGAUGAAGGCCUUCGGGUUGUAAACCGCUUUCAGCAGGGAAGACAUCGACGGUACCUGCAGAAGAAGCCCCGGCUAACUACGUGCCAGCAGCCGCGGUAAUACGUAGGGGGCGAGCGUUAUCCGGAUUCAUUGGGCGUAAAGCGCGCGCAGGCGGUUGCUCAAGCGGAACCUCUAAUCUCGGGGCUUAACCUCGAGCCGGGUUCCGAACUGGACGACUCGAGUGCGGUAGAGGCAGAUGGAAUUCCCGGUGUAGCGGUGGAAUGCGCAGAUAUCGGGAAGAACACCAACGGCGAAGGCAGUCUGCUGGGCCGUCACUGACGCUGAGGCGCGAAAGCUGGGGGAGCGAACAGGAUUAGAUACCCUGGUAGUCCCAGCCGUAAACGAUGAGCGCUGGGUGUGGGAGAUUACAUCUUCCGUGCCGAAGCUAACGCAUUAAGCGCUCCGCCUGGGGAGUACGGCCGCAAGGCUAAAACUC